CCUUAAAGAUUACGGCAGCAACAGGAGUUAUGUUUGGCGGAAAUACAUUUUCAGGUUAUAAUAACAGGGAAUAUGGCAGGGAAGUGGUUUAUGAUGCAUUUCCCUGGGUAAUGUUUUUAUUAUGGAGUCUCUUAUUACGUUUAUUCUUAACCUUUAGCAGCUGGGUUGGAAACUCUGUUUCUUAGGGGUGCACGUCUCCACUCCCAGGAGCUAUGAGGUCAUAGGUGGGUAGAGCUUUCGCUGUGAAUCUGAAAACUCUUGUUAGCAAGGCCAACAAACAGAGACCCAUGUUCCCGGACCCUGUGCUCCUCUCGAUUCCUAUACAAAGGAGGAGAUGGUGCUCGGUAACCAGACACAAGAUAAAGAAAACCCAAGACUCCUUACAAAUUACAUCCAAUGUCCUAUCCCUGAUAACAGAGUGACGUCCAUUCUCCUCACGGCUUAGUACAAUUGAAGAUGGUUGAUUUUACACAAAGUAACAGAUGUUUUUGAUGGUUAAAUAGAGAUAAACUGUUGGCAGUGACUGGGCACCACUGUGUACUGGGGAUGGUUUGACAGAGAAAAAGUAAUAUAGUUAUGGGACUCACCCAUUACUCAC